rnacentral:rRNA from 1 species
CAGCCGCCACGGGAAUACAGAGGGUGCAAGCGUUAAUCGGAAUUACUGGGCGUAAAGCGCGCGUAGGUGGUUUGUUAAGUUGGAUGUGAAAGCCCCGGGCUCAACCUGGGAACUGCAUCCAAAACUGGCAAGCUAGAGUACGGUAGAGGGUGGUGGAAUUUCCUGUGUAGCGGUGAAAUGCGUAGAUAUAGGAAGGAACACCAGUGGCGAAGGCGACCACCUGGACUGAUACUGACACUGAGGUGCGAAAGCGUGGGGAGCAAACAGGAUUAGAUACCCCCGUAGUCCCUGUCUCUUAUAA